AGAGAAAGGAACAGCAGCAGGAGGUGGUUCAAGCUCAUCUUGAUCAUCCAUCUCUUCAUCAGCCUCCGCUAGCGCCGCCGCCGUGCCCGUGCCACCACCAGACUCAGCACCAGGGUCGAGAUAAGGAGAAGGAGACUCAGGUGGCUCGGAGACUUCAGAGACUGGAGUUAAUGGUUGCAUAUGAGGCGGAGACCAUCCGAAUAAACCUCUAGAGAUCAUCAUCUUCGGAGGAGCACCACACAAAACACCUUCUGUGUUGAAAACCCUAGAUUUUCAGAUUUUUAGGGAUUUUGAUUUUGUUUUUUUCUUCUUCUAAAAUUAGCUGGAUCUGUUGCUAAGUUUGUAGAGAGGAAGAAGAAGAAGAAGA